AGCUGAAACACCGAUUCUCGUUCGAUAACUGGAGUUAAGCUACGUUGAACCUGGUCAGUAUAUAGAUGGGUGACCGCUUGGGAAUAUCCGGUACUGUAA